rnacentral:rRNA from 1 species
UUUCCGGUUGAUCCUGCCAGACCUGACUGCUAUCGGAUUGAUACUAAGCCAUGCGAGUCAUUGUAGUAAUACAAGGCAGACGGCUCAGUAACGCGUGGUCAACCUAACCUAUGGACGGGAAUAACCUCGGGAAACUGAGUAUAAUGCCCGAUAGAACAUUAUGCCUGGAAUGGUUUAUGUUCCAAAUGAUUUAUCGCCGUAGGAUGGGACUGCGGCCUAUCAGUUUGUUGGUGAGGUAAUGGCCCACCAAGACUAUUACAGGUACGGGCUCUGAGAGGAGUAGCCCGGAGAUGGGUACUGAGACACGGACCCAGGCCCUAUGGGGCGCAGCAGGCGAGAAAACUUUGCAAUGUGCGAAAGCACGACAAGGUUAAUCCGAGUGGUUUCUGCUAAAGGAACCUUUUGUUAGUCCUAGAAACACUAACGAAUAAGGGGUGGGCAAGUUCUGGUGUCAGCCGCCGCGGUAAAACCAGCACCUCAAGUGGUCAGGAUGAUUAUUGGGCCUAAAGCAUCCGUAGCCGGCUCUAUAAGUUUUCGGUUAAAUCUGUACGCUCAACGUACAGGCUGCCGGGAAUACUGCAGAGCUAGGGAGUGGGAGAGGUAGACGGUACUCGGGAGGAAGGGGUAAAAUCCUUUGAUCUCUCGAUGACCACCUGUGGCGAAGGCGGUCUACCAGAACACGUCCGACGGUGAGGGAUGAAAGCUGGGGGAGCAAACCGGAUUAGAUACCCGGGUAGUCCCAGCUGUAAACUAUGCAAACUCAGUGAUGCAUUGACUUGUGGUCAAUGCAGUGCUGCAGGGAAGCCGUUAAGUUUGCCGCCUGGGAAGUACGUACGCAAGUAUGAAACUUAAAGGAAUUGGCGGGGGAGCACCACAAGGGGUGAAGCCUGCGGUUCAAUUGG